GCUCUAAAGGUCAGUGGUAGACCAGCCUCUUCUCAUUAAUUUCAAUGGCACUUCGCAUUUUGAGGCCAAUGUGGGUUCAACUCCCACUUAGGGCA